UACGUAGGGCGCAAGCGUUGUCCGGAAUUAUUGGGCGUAAAGCGCACGUAGGCGGACCAUCAAGUCGGUUGUGAAAUCCCUCGGCUUAACCGAGGACGUGCAUUCGAAACUGAUGGCCUUGAGUACGAAAGAGGAUCGCGGAAUUCCCGGUGUAGAGGUGAAAUUCGUAGAUAUCGGGAGGAACACCAGUGGCGAAGGCGGCGAUCUGGGUCGAUACUGACGCUGAGGUGCGAAAGCGUGGGGAGCAAACAGG
rnacentral:rRNA from 1 species